CAACCGGCCCUUUUCAGGGCCAUCUAAAUACCACCUCACUUGUAU
rfam:Cyphomyrmex costatus contig10271, whole genome shotgun sequence.